rnacentral:tRNA from 1 species
GUCUAUGUAAUUUAUCUAAAAUAUCGGUCUUGUAAAUCGAAAAUAGGUCUUUACCUCUUAGACU